UGAAGGAGAUUUGGUAUCCAUCUGGGUU
rnacentral:piRNA from 1 species